rnacentral:rRNA from 1 species
CAGUAGCCACGGUAAUACGAGGGGGGCAAGCGUUGUUCGGAAUUAUUGGGCGUAAAGGGUGCGUAGGCGGUUUGAUAAGUCUGAUGUGAAAUCUCUGGGCUCAACCCAGAGUCUGCAUCGGAAACUGUCGGGCUUGAGUAUGGGAGAGGUGAGUGGAAUUUCCGGUGUAGCGGUGAAAUGCGUAGAUAUCGGAAGGAACACCUGUGGCGAAAGCGGCUCACUGGACCAUUACUGACGCUGAUGCACGAAAGCUAGGGGAGCAAACAGGAUUAGAUACCCCUGUAGUCCCUGUCUCUUAUAC